ACACCUCAACUCUCCACGGUUUGCCCGUGGUGAGCUUGGACUUUGGAGGUUUGCUGGCCCCACAGGUCGGCUCCUCUCAAAUGGAUCAGCUUGCCAGCGUUUGGUGGCGUCGCAGGUGUGAUAAAUAUCUACGCUUGUGGCCGUCCGCCAUGUAACCUUCAGCGAUGGAGGUUCGCCGGAGCUAAAAAACGUCUCUCCUCAGCGAAGACAGCUUUUUAACGU
rnacentral:misc_RNA from 1 species